rnacentral:rRNA from 1 species
GAGUUUGAUUAUGGCUCAGUAUUGAACGCUGGCGGCAGGCCUAACACAUGCAAGUCGAGCGGUAACAGGAAUUAGCUUGCUAAUUCGCUGACGAGCGGCGGACGGGUGAGUAAUGCCUGGGAAUAUGCCUUAGUGUGGGGGAUAACUAUUGGAAACGAUAGCUAAUACCGCAUAACGUCUUCGGACCAAAGAGGGGGACCUUCGGGCCUCUCGCGCUAAGAUUAGCCCAGGUGGGAUUAGCUAGUUAGUGAGGUAAAGGCUCACCAAGGCAACGAUCCCUAGCUGGUCUGAGAGGAUGAUCAGCCACACUGGAACUGAGACACGGUCCAGACUCCUACGGGAGGCAGCAGUGGGGAAUAUUGCACAAUGGGGGAAACCCUGAUGCAGCCAUGCCGCGUGUAUGAAGAAGGCCUUCGGGUUGUAAAGUACUUUCAGUCGUGAGGAAGAUUAUACAGUUAAUAGCUGUGUGAUUUGACGUUAGCGACAGAAGAAGCACCGGCUAACUCCGUGCCAGCAGCCGCGGUAAUACGGAGGGUGCGAGCGUUAAUCGGAAUUACUGGGCGUAAAGCGCAUGCAGGCGGUCUGUUAAGCAAGAUGUGAAAGCCCGGGGCUCAACCUCGGAACCGCAUUUUGAACUGACAGACUAGAGUCUUGUAGAGGGGGGUAGAAUUUCACGUGUAGCGGUGAAAUGCGUAGAGAUCUG